UAGGGCCAUGAUUAAACAUUUUUAAAUAUGCAAGCAUUCCCAGGUAGUGCAGAUUCAAAUUUGUUCAAAUUGUGGUCCCCAGGAGUAUGGUGAGGCCACAGCAGGGGAUCAAAGUUUUACAUGAGAAAGUACAGGAAAAAUUCUUCUUUUCAAUAACAAUUAACAGGGCCAUGAAUACUCAUAUUAAUAUGCAAGCAUCCCCAGGUAGUACAGAUUGAAGUAUAUUCAAAUCACGGCCAUCGAGGUAGGAUGCAUGGGGCCACAAUAGCUGGUUAUAGUUUUAUAUAGGAAUAUAUAAGGAAACAUCUUUGAAAAUUUCAUACCAUGAUUUUUUACAUUGUGAUAUUGUAUCAUGGUUUAAUAUUGUGACCAUAAGGGGCUUAGGUUAGGGCCACACUAUGGGGUCAAAAUUUCUCAUGGGAAUAAAGAUUGCUAGAAUGAAUUUUAAAUAACAAAAACUGAACAACAGCAGGGCCAAGAUGACUCAUGUGAGCGAUGUGGCCUAUAGGCCUCUUGCUUUUUGUUUCAAUGGUCAUAGAUCUUUGGAGUCAUUGUUGGAUAUUUCGUCAAUGUUCGGUAGAUUUGCAAAACUCUCCUCUUGACCAUUGUUCAAGGCAUACAUUAUCAUUUUCUGUAAACUGUCACAAAACUCAACCUUUCAUAAAAUACUUGGUUGUUUAUUUGUGUAUCCAAUCAUUGAAAUAGAUGUGAUUAAACCACUUAGUUCCACUUGAUCUCCCCAUUAUACAUAUGCUAAAUAUAAACCUCAGAUGCGAGUCAUGAAAUAAAAUUACCACAUGGGACAGGUGACCACUGAAUAAAGUGACUGUUAUGGCAAGUUUGACUGUAAUAUGAAUUUCUUGGAUAUAAUGAAUUAUAUUUAUAACGAAUUGAAAUUUUUCAUACCAUUAGCACUUUGCUAUAAGUGAGUAAUUAUCACACACACACCCCCACCCCCACCCCCAAAGUUUGGGGUGUAUGUGUGUGUAUAUGAAUCACCAUGUUACUCAAUCUGUCUGUGUGACACACCUGUCUGACAAUUUUAGUCAGGUCACAACUUGUAAUGGAUAGAUGUUAGAAGUUUUUACUUGGCUCAAGGAUGGCUUAUUGCUAGAUGGUACUAGUAUGUUAUAACCCUGUCCCAAGGUCAAGUUGAAAGUUCAAGUGAGAUUUUCUGAUCGCCUGUUGUCUGUCAGCUGUCUGUCUGUGUCAGUCAGUCUGUAAACUUUUUCCAUUUCGACUUCUCCAGAACCACUGGGCCAAUUUCAACCAAACUUGGCACAAAGCAUGCUUGGGUGAAGGCCAUGCCCCCUUUAAAGGGGAGAUAAUCACAAAAAUGCAAAAAUAGGAUGGGGUUAUUUAAAAAUCUUCUUGAGAACCACUGGGCCAGAAGAGCAGAAAUUUGCUUCCUGACAUAGUGCAGAUUCAAAUUUGAUAAAACCAUGACCCCUGGAGGUAUAUUUGGGCCACAAUAGGGGAUAUAAGUUAUACAUGUGAAUAUAUCUAGGUAAAAUCUUUGAAAAUCUUUUUCCCAAGAACAAAGCUUCCUGACAUAGUGCAGAUUCAUGUUUGUAAAAAUCAUGGCUCCCGGGGGUAGAAUGGCACUACAAUAGGGGAUUAAAGUUUUACAUGUAGAAAUAUAGAUGGACAAUCUUUAAAAUUCUUCUUCUUAAUUAAGGACCACUGGACCAGAAAAGUUUAUAUUGACAUGAAAGCUUCCUGACAUUGUUCAGAUUCAAGGUUGUUAAAACCAUGACCCCUGGGAUUAAAGUUUUACAUAUGAAUAUGUAGGGAAGAAUCUUUAAAUAUGGGCCAAGGUGACUUGGGUGAGUGAUGUAGCCCAUGGGCCUCUUGUUGAUUGACAACAAGUAGAAGCUCAUACUUAACACAAAACUUGUUGAAUAUUGUCAGAUUGUCUGUCAUGACUAUUUGGCUCCAUAUAAGGUCAGUUAAAAUCAUAGUCUGCCUUGUAACUAAUUAAUGCAGGGAUUGUAUAAGUUUUUUAUGAUUGUGGCAAAUGAAUUUGCUGUACUUUGAAUAUGCCCUAUUUUAGAUGAACCUCACAGGGGUAUUAUAGUCCUGAUAGGACAGGUUGUAGUUUUUCAUCCUAGUAAACAUUUCCUUUGUUGCGUAAUGAAACAGAAUACAAUAAGACCAUUGCAUAAGUUCUGUUAUGACUGUGGUCCACCAUGUAGAAAAUCUCCAGACAAAUCAUGCAUAUCAUAAAAGUUUUACUAUAUAUUUCUUUCCAAAUCUCAGGAAACAUUUUUUUUACAUUCAGAGUAUAGUGUGUAAAUACAGCAAAUAAUGAAAACUGGUAAGGAACCUGUAAGAGGCAGUUGUGUUCCUUGUGUAUUUAUUUCUGAUGCAAUCAGAUCUGAAUAUUACAUCCAUGAUCUGCUAGUUAUCAUCUGCAUGAUUAUUCAAGAAUAACAACUGGCAUUUUUAUGCAAAAUCAUGAAAUAGGCGAUGUUCCUUUUAAGUGCCCUUGAAAAGGUGUCACCAUGGAAACACACAAAUUUUUAAAAACAUAUGAAGUCAAAGAACAAA